CUAUGACUCAUGUAAAAGAAAAAAAUUCCCCCAAUACAGCAGUCAGAUCCAGCAGAACCCUUCUGAGUCACCAAUCCUGACACCCUGAACCAUGCCAGGGGCAUUUCUAUGAAAAUGAGUUGUCUCAUUUUAAAAUAUGUUUUUUUAUUAUUUUCUUAUUUCCAAGUAAUACACAGUAAUCGUAGCAAAUUUGGAAAAUGCAAAAAAAUAAAAAGAAACAAGAAUCGAUCACAAAUAUACCACUUAUACCCUGUUGGAUUUUCAUCGAUGUGCUUUUUACUUCACCAUUCCAAGAUGACUGCUGUAGCUCCAGGCAUUGCAUCCUCACCAUGGCUUGAUAAGCUGGGCUAUGUCCACACCCUGGAUCCGAACUGGCGAACCCUAGGCUGCCGAAGCAGAGCGCAUGAACUUAACUGCUGUGCCACUGGGCUGGCCCCAGGAAAGAGCUGAGAACAGUGUUCUCACCAACUAGUUAGAAGAGCCAAGGGCAAAAUAAGUUGCUCUGAUAGCCCGCAUUCUCCAAGCUCAGGCAUGACACUACAGGAUUCCUGGAAAAGCUGCGGAAGAUGUCUGACAGCCUUCUCCCAUCCCAUUCCGAAAUCAGAGAACAUGAGCAUAGCUCUUUGUGGCUCCAGCAGGGAGGAGAGGGGUGAGUCACCAGCCCACAGCCUGUCGUCUGCUGAACUGGUGGCUUAAUGCUUGCUGCUAUUGAGCAGGUUGCCACUGGCCACACCAGAGGCCAGGCUGGCCCUGUUCCUAGUAUAGGAAGCUCCAAAGACAGACCCAGGAGCCUAUGCAGCUAGUAGGCUCCUGGUUUCUACCUCCAGGAAAUAGCUCAAGAGACCAAAUAACUCAAGAGGCCAGAGGAGCGAGAAGCUGCCAGGCUCAGCCCCAUUUCCCCGCCUGCCUCUGAGUGUGCUGACUGGACCGCCAGUAGAACUGGCGCAGCCACCUGCCUCACCUGCCUCAGAUGAGCAUGAUGGACGGAUGCUUUUAUGCAGGCCCAUCAUUCACAAAAUCUUACUCUUGAAGAUCCUGGGAGGGGAUCAUGGAAACACAUUCAUUCAUCAAUCGCACAUUUAUUAUUAAGUACUUCCAUAAUAUUGAUUUCUAGCAUCUUGGUCAGUAGCAGGGACACAAUGAUGAAGAACACAUCAUCUUUUCCCUCAAGGAGCUUGCUGUCUAUCAUAAAGACAUAGACGUGAACAAAUCAUUAUAACAUACCAUUGAUGCUAGGCCGGAAGUGUGUCCAAGGUGGGGGAGGUGCGAAGGAGGAGGUGAGUUAUACCUACUUGGGGGAUGAGGAGACUAGGAAAGGCUUCACGGAACAGGUGCUGUCAGAUCCGAAUCUGUUGGCGUUUCCAAACACCAACUUCCUGUGCAUCCCUGAAGCUAUGUCUGACACCAGAGCCAGGUCCUAGCAGUCACUAGCUAGUGUCCAACAGUGGUGGGCCACCCCAGGUCCAAGCCUAUGCAGAAGGCUUUUUAAACCAGAGACAAUGAGUCCAAGCUUAGGAACAUAGAGUGAUCUCUCAGGGUUGAAGACCCAGCCAUCAGAAAGGACAUGGAUUUGAACCCACAGUGGAGUUUCAUUUGGCCUCUGACUUCGUUUCAUUUUCCCAUAACCAGACCCUGAGACAAAGCUAAAUCUUCAGGAAAGGCAGAGUGAAAAGCACAUUUAUUGUAUAUAAUUUUGUGACACCAUUACCUCCGGCUCCUCCCAGGUCGGGGGUAGAAGCAGUGUCCACACCCAACUGUGGAUUUGAAAGAACUUGGUUCCACUGUCAAGGCUAACAGUAAAGAGAGAAUCAGAAAUAUGGUUUAGGACAAGAACCUGUCAAGGGGAGGAAUUUCUCAAAGGUAACAAUUUUCUGUUUCAUUUUAUGAGGAUACUAUGGCUAUUAAGAAUUUAAAUAAGCUGUAUCCUCACUAGUAAAAUUCAUUCUAGGUUUAAAAUUAAACUUCAAUCUAUUAACAAAUUAAAUUCAAAUAAUUAAGUCCAAUAUAACAGAGUGGACAUGCCAUGGAGAGUGGAGUCUGCAGUUAUUUCUCACAGCAAAAGGACUUCUACACACUACUUAUUUGUCUGGGAACAGAAACCUCUCACUGUAAAGUCAGGAUUGGGGGCAGAGAGACAUUCCUGAGAGGCCUGGAGUCCCCAGACCUUUCAGCGAGACCAUCACAGCCUGGAACAGCGUCAGCCAAAAAUAGAGGCAGGAGUGUUCAGACCUGCUAUGUCCUGGUUAGCCCUGUUCAACCCCUACCCACUCCCUGUGACCACUGGGGUGUUCAGAAGCCACCCUACUCUGGAGGUCACCUGGAAAAUGGUGACCCUGCUUGGAGGCAGCUCUAGGCCGACUGAUGUCCUGCUUAGGAGGCAGUUUGGCCUCGUAGUCGAGACGAUAGGUACUGGACUUGAUCAAAUUCCAGCUCCAUCAUUUACCAGUGUGGGACCUUCAGUGGGACCUCAGCCUCCCAGAGCCACUUUCCUUAUCUGUAAGAUGGAGAUAAAAUUAUCAUGAAAACAUACUGCUAAGCUCUGUCCUCAGGAUUAGGAGAUUGUGGAUGGAUUUGUGAUUGUGCAAUGUUUCUUGCUGUUCCUGUAAAUUCUGAAAAGGUCAGAUAUCUACAGAUGCAUGUCACGAAGUUUGCUUCUCUUGUUCAAUCGAAGAAAGAGAUUACACUAGGGAAGCCCUAAAUUUUCUUCUGAGUUGUAUUUUCAUAAAUGUUUAGGGUUCUGAUUUUUUUAAGUUGGAGAUUUGGAAAUUUUUGCCCAAGAUCAGUUCCUUAGCAGCUGUGUCUAGAGAAUGUGACCUAAUGUUUCGUAUUAUGAGCUUAUGUCUAUUCAUAAUGUCUAUACAAAAACUUAUCUUAAACUAGAUUUGACUUGUUAAAAUCUGAGGUCUUUAAUUGCUUAAAAUAUUCACUCAAAGAAUUGAGUUAACUUAAUUACAUGAAACUUUGCUAUGAUUAUUGUAUUGUCCUGAAGCCUUUGUACAUUUUCAAGUUUGCAAGUGAUGUUGUAAAUGUAAU
ensembl:lncRNA